UCAUGUGGGGGGCGGUUUGGGGAAUUGGGGUGCGCUCAUUAUUUCCUGCUCCCUUUCUGGGCCAGUGUUGUUGAUAUCGGGGGAGCGGAGAGUCACUCUUGGGUGCAGGGCACGCCCCCUUAGGUCCAUAAGGAUCUUAGCUUGAGCCCCGCCGCAGAUCUUAGGCGUCUGGCUUUCCUUUGUGGGGGACGCUUGGAAGCUGCACCUUGUUGGGAAGAGUUAUUGCUAGGGGAUUCUGGGGUGAUGUUUUCGCCUCUUGAUGUCCACCCGUGUUCCCACUUGUGGGCAGUUUGAGGUCUAGGUAGGGGAGCCCGUCAUUAAGGGAAGUUUAAUGUCUGACCCUCUUCAGAUGGUGUUGAAGAAGAGGUAUUUAAUAGCGUGGAAUAUGGAGUCAGAUCCCUGGGUUCGAACGCUUACUCCACCAUGUGCUAGUUGUUAGACUUCGCUCAAGUUUUUCAACUCAAUGCCUCAAUAUUAGUCUCUAAAAUGGGGUAAAACAUCUGAAGCUCUUGGAACAGUGGCACCUAAUAAGGGCUCAAGAAAUAUUAGCUAUUAUUUGUUAAUUCACAGUUUCCAUUGACCAUCUAACAUGUGGAUAUUUUUUUUCUUGAUGAGGAGAGGAUUCAGUUUCCAGGAUUGAACAUCUUCCCUCACACCCUCAGUUACAUGCUCGUGCACACACACGCAGAGCAGGAAUUUACGGUUUCUGGUGGAAAAAACAAACAUGCAAGCCAUAACAAUACGUUAGGAAGAUUAUCGAACAAAUGUGUACACAGUGUAAUGAGAACAUUGGAGAGGAAGAGCCUAAGUAGCGGGAAGUCUUUGGAGGAGAGUCAGGGAGGCAGGGAGGCGCUUGUGUAACCUACCAACGUUACCGCCGGAGGGCAGUUCACGUGAGGCAACUAAUGCUGUUUUCCUGAAUGAAUUGAUCAUAAUCCCUAGCCUUGAGCACUACGGAACCAGGCACCAUCCACAUCCUUCAACCUUCACUGCAUUCCUAUGAAGCGGAUAUUUGAAUGACGCUUGUUUUUCAGCUUUUUUUCAAGGUUCUUCUUUAUCUUGCUGCAUCUGAAGCCAUGGGUAGCAAGAAACUAAGACGAGUGGGUUUAUCACAAGAGCUGUGUGACCGUCUGAACAGACAUCAGAUUGUUACCUGUCAGGACUUUCUAUGUCUUUCCCCACUGGAGCUUAUGAAGAUGACUGGCCUUAGUUAUCAAGGUGUCCAUGAACUUUUGUGUGUGGUCAGCAGGGCCUGUGCCCCACAGAUGCAAACGGCUUAUGAGAUAAAGACACAGAGGUCUGCUGCUCCAUCACCAGCAUUUUUAUCUACAACCCUCUCUGCUUUAGAUGAAGCCCUGCAUGGUGGUGUAGCUUGUGGAUCCCUCACAGAGAUUACAGGUCCACCAGGUUGUGGAAAAACUCAGUUUUGUAUAAUGAUGAGCAUUUUGGCUACGUUACCUACCAACAUGGGAGGAUUAGAAGGAGCUGUUGUGUACAUUGACACAGAGUCAGCAUUUAGUGCUGAAAGACUGGUUGAGAUAGCAGAAUCUCGUUUUCCCAGAUAUUUUAACACUGAAGAAAAAUUACUUUUGACAAGCAGUAAAGUUCAUCUUUAUCGGGAACUCAGCUGUGAUGAAGUUCUACAAAGGAUUGAAUCCUUGGAAGAAGAAAUUAUUUCAAAAGGAGUUAAACUUGUGAUUAUCGACUCUGUUGCUUCUGUGGUAAGAAAGGAGUUUGAUACACAACUUCAGGGCAACAUGAGAGAAAGGAACAAGUUCUUGGCAAGAGAAGCAGCCUCUUUGAAGUAUUUGGCUGAGGAAUUUUCAAUCCCAGUUAUCUUGACGAAUCAAAUUACAACCCAUCUGAGUGGAGCCCUAGCUUCUCAGGCAGACCUGGUGUCUCCAGCUGAUGAUUUGUCCCUGUCUGAAGGCACUUCUGGAUCCAGCUGUGUGACAGCUGCACUAGGAAACACCUGGAGUCACAGUGUGAACACCCGGCUGAUUCUCCAGUAUCUUGGUUCAGGGAGAAGACAGAUUCUCAUUGCCAAGUCCCCUCUGGCGACCUUCACCACAUUUGUCUACACCAUCGAGAAGGAAGGCCUGGUUCUUCAAGGGGGCCCCAGAUCACGGAGGGUCCUCGGGCCGGCAUCACAGCCAAGCUGAGGAGUGUGGACCAUCACCCUGUGGUGUGCUAUGGGCAGGCAUUUCUGAAUGCCUCAAGGCAGUUCACAAUUUCUAGUGAACUGGGAGACCUCUGAACAAUAGCAGGACCCUAAGGAUUGGGACCCAUGACUCCUCAGCGAAUUCUACACUCCUUUGAGGCACUACCUAAAGUUCAGGGAGAAGCUUGCCAAGGAAGAGGGACCUGGGGACAGCAGUGGAGAUGGAGACGUGAGCUCUGGUUGCCCUGCGCACUACAAGGAAGAAAAAUAGAAUAAUGAGCCACGUCGUUGGAGAGUGUCACCCGAGCAGCUCCGGAAGGACGUGGGCA